CAGCUGUGCUGCAUUGAGGGGAAUCUCUCCAGGUUUCUUGCAUUUUCACUGCUAGUCCCAGACAUUUCCUCAGAGGCUGCAUGUCACCAGAAGAUUCUGAUGUCCUCUCUGAGUCCUCUAGUGCUUCUGGGAGGUUACAGGUGUGAAACACAACACGAGGAGGUGCAAAGCUGACGUACUCCUGGCUUGGAACAUCCCAUGUGUGAGUGUGCUGAACCUCUUUCUGACAGUUUUGCUCUAAAACUCCAGGCUUGGGGCACCCCACGUGUGUGACUGUGAACUUUUUCCUGCUAGAAUUCCUCCAGAGCAUUUGGGGACUCCAGCGAAGCCAUCAUCAAGCAAGGGCCUUUGCUGGCUCUAUAAUAGAUUUCUUCCCCUGUUUACUGC